UACGUAGGCAGCGAGCGUUGUUCGGAAUUACUGGGCGUAAAGCGCGCGCAGGCGGUCUUCCAAGUCAGUGGUGAAAGCCCGGAGCUCAACUCCGGAACUGCCAUUGAAACUGUUAGACUUGAGGAUGAGAGAGGUGAGUGGAAUUCCCAGUGUAGAGGUGAAAUUCGUAGAUAUUGGGAAGAACACCAGUGGCGAAGGCGGCUCACUGGCUCAUUUCUGACGCUCAGGCGCGACAGCGUGGGGAUCAAACAGG
rnacentral:rRNA from 1 species